rnacentral:misc_RNA from 1 species
CCGCUUUCUAAGUGCAUAUUGAUAGCAGCUACGACCAUGUGUGUCGGUCUCCCUUUUUUUAGUUUCUUUGAGACAGAGAUCCUCCACAGCCUGUAAUGCUUCCUUAUAGCUUAAAUGCUCACAUUUUCUCUCACAAAGGCUCCGCAGGUGGUAAAACUCCUUCUCAAGCAUUUGGAGAAUUUCAAUUCCUUGGUGCACUUUCUCUUCUUUC